UUUGAUCCUAUUGUAGCAAGAUCUGGUCGUGAUUUGAUUCCUGUUAUGGUGUAUGGAAGAAACAUUUAUGGUCAAGAGUUUGGAGGAAUGUACUGUGUAGUUUUAACUGUGAGGUCUAUUGUUGUAUCAGCUGGUCUUCUUAGGAUAUUUGGUCGAGAGGUAGUCGAGCUUCCCAUAGUGGCGACAACUAGAGAACACCAAG